AUUGAACGCUGGCGGCAUGCUUUACACAUGCAAGUCGAACGAGUGGCGGACGGGUGAGUAACGCAUCGGAACGUACCGGGUAAAGGGGGAUAACUGUUGGAAAGGACAGCUAAUACCGCAUAUUAUUCGAGCGGUCGAUGUGUGAUUAGCUGGUUGGCGGGGUAAAGGCGCACCAAGGCGACGAUCAGUAGCGGGUCUGAGAGGAUGACCCGCAACACUGGAACUGAGACACGGUCCAGACUCCUACGGGAGGCAGCAGUGGGGAAUUUUGGACAAUGGGCGCAAGCCUGAUCCAGCCAUGCCGCGUGUCUGAAGAAGGCCUUCGGGUUGUAAAGGACUUUUGUCAGGGAAGCGGUACCUGAAGAAUAAGCACCGGCUAACUACGUGCCAGCAGCCGCGGUAAUAC
rnacentral:rRNA from 1 species